rnacentral:ncRNA from 1 species
CGGUCUCAUUAGCCGUAGUAACAACGAACCAUGAGAAGUCAGCAGAGGCCAUAGUAGGCGACAGCCGAAGGGC